AUUCUGCUUUCCUAGCUUGCACAGAAUCCAGUGAAAGUCCCAAAUGGGUAAGCAACGCAAGGUCCAGUGCCUGACUAUUCCCCAGCAGGCAGCUGUCUCGAAUAACCCGGCUGAAAUGCAACCAAUGACGUGCCCAGUUUAACCUUGGGGCACUCGGACACUCCGUGCCCGCACAGGACGAGAACCUGGAGGAAAGCUACCUUGAUUAGACCCUCUCAAACAAGGUAUUCAAACAGUACCUGCCACCACAAAAGAAGUUUUUUGUCAACAGCUUCCCAGCAUUGUAGAGAUCCCUGCCUUUCAGAGCUGUAAGCUUCUUGCCACCACAAGUAAUGCCAGCUGAGGAUUAAACAACACUUGGCUACUGAGAUGAAAUUUGUCAUACGAAGACUGAACAGCAGUGCACUAGAGCACAACAGUGCUCAGUGUACUUCCCACAGCCAGAAGCAUCCAUAACCUCCAGGGAGCAGAGGUGCCAGAACCUGAUUCAGGAAGCAUACGAUGCCUACAUGGGAGCUAGAGGAACUCCUCGCUUGCUGGCUUUGAAAAGGCAACUGCUCAGCAGGGAAACUGGGACAGAAUGAGAUUUGAAACCCGAAGGGCAGCCUGUUUCUGAUGAAAUGUCUCUGUAUUGGGAUCUUUACAUAUCUGCCAAGGUAUAAAAUGGAGGGACAGGAAGUCAUUUGCAAACCUUAUGUAACAUCCAGUCCUGCAAAGAGGUGCAUGCUGGGGGAUUCCUCUACCCACACAGAACUCUACCAAGCAGGCAUGCCUCCGCAUCCUUAUCUUCGCAGAACUCAAGCAUAGACCUCCUACAAGAUCAUCUCCCACCUCUAAUGUGCAUCUGUUCAUUUUCUGCCUGUCAAGAGACUUCAGAAUUUAAAAGAAGUUGCAAGAGAUAAGAGAAGCAGCUUUCAAGUUUGAGUGCACCAGAUCAGAUCUGAUAAGAAAUGUGAUUUUUUAUUGUCUGACUUUUCUUUUUUAUUUUUCCAAAGUGGAAUUCUCCUGCUGUGUAAGGAACUGUUUCUUGCAAUGCAUUUUUUCUCAGCAAUAAAAAUAUCUCAAAGGCAGAAGUACAAUUCUCCUUUUAGACCCGACACCUCCAAAGCCUGAUAUAUGUAGCUGAGUUAGAUGAAAAGGUAUUAUUAGGUUUUUAUUAGAUUAUGAUGCAAGCUCAAGCUGGCUAGGCUCAUCAGACAGUAAAUCUAGUGCAAACAUCCGUGGCCAAAUUCUACUCUCAUGCAUGUUGCUGUUUGACUGUGGUCAGUAUUCCUCUCUACUGUGAUACUGGUUCCCUUCUAUCAGUUGUGAGAAGGGAAUGGAUGCACAUAGGGCACGAUUUAUAAUGUAAACAGUCAUUGACAUAAAAUAAUUCUGAUUGUGCUCCUAUAUAAAAUCAGAGCUAAUGCUGGUAAAGGCAAAGGAUUAUUCUUCCUUACACAAUACAUGGAUCCAAAAUUCAGGCCUUUAUCACAAGACUAAGAUUUGUUAGAUAUAGCAUGGAUAUUUAUUUAUACAUGGCUUUUUACCAUCAGUGACUUGUUUCAAAAAUAACCCUUCUUCAGCUCCUUUCUGGCAGCUGCAUGUUGCAUUAAAGAGGUGAAUUGAAGCCAGGUAGACAGGGAGAUCUUCUAUUGACUUCAGCAGGGACUGCACAAGAAUUGGGUAUCUGAAAGCUACAUUGGACACUGCGAACACAGCAAGUGCUUUUUCCCUUCCAGGCAGAGCAAUAGUCUCACUAACAGCAGGCAGCUCUCUUCACAGUAUGUCAUGCUCAUUUUAAACCUGCUCCAAAUGCCGCAGGAGCUCAGCAGAGAAGCAGGCUGCCCAAAAGCACAGACGUAAACCCAGGCUAAGCUUACAGCUGUUCUAUGGCAAUGUUCUGUGCCCUCUAUAACACACAAAAUACAUACUGUAAUUUUUAUUAAAGGUCACAAUACUUCAAGACCUCCUGUGAAAAGAAUAAAAACUCACCUGAAAAGAUAGCAUGUUUGAGAAAAUGAAAACUGUCAUAUCAUAAGCUAAGUUCUUGCUUGUAGGCAAUUUUUUGAUAAGUGUCUCAAAGACAUAUUGCAGCAGAGCCAUAAAUCCAGAUGCCAUUCCACACAGAAGCUUGGCUUGAGAACUACAAAUCCCAGCCUUUGCAAAUACCUUUAUAUGUUAAGCUGAA